UGGGGAAUAUUGCGCAAUGGGGGAAACCCUGACGCAGCGACGCCGCGUGAGCGAAGAAGGCCUUAGGGUUGUAAAGCUCUGUUUUAGGGGACGAAUGUCGUGGUCAGUAAUAUGGACUACGAAUGACGGUACCCUAAGAGGAAGCCCCGGCUAACUACGUGCCAGCAGCCGCGGUAAGACGUAGGGGGCGAGCGUUGUCCGGAAUUACUGGGCGUAAAGAGCACGUAGGCGGGAACUUAAGUCAGGUGUGAAAGACCGAGGCUCAACCUCGGGUGUGCACUUGAAACUGGGUUUCUUGAGGGCAGGAGAGGAAAGCAGAAUUCCUGGUGUAGCGGUGAAAUGCGUAGAAAUCAGGAGGAAUACCAGUGGCGAAGGCGGCUUUCUGGACUGACCCUGACGCUGAGGUGCGAAAGCGUGGGUAGCAAACAGG
rnacentral:rRNA from 1 species